UACGUAGGCGGACGUAUAAGUCAGUGGUGAAAUCUAGCAGCUUAACUGUUAACGUGCCAUUGAUACUGUAGGUCUUGAGUAUAACUGAGGUAGUUGGAAUGCGUAGUGUAGCGGUGAAAUGCUUAGAGAUUACGCAGAACACCUAUUGCGAAGGCAGACUACUAAGUUAUAACUGACGCUGAGGUACGAAAGCGUGGGGAGCGAACAGGAUUAGAUACCCUGGUAGUCC
rnacentral:rRNA from 1 species